CACGUAGGGUGCGAGCGUUGUCCGGAAUUAUUGGGCGUAAAGAGCUCGUAGGCGGUGUGUCGCGUCGGCCGUGAAAACCUGCAGCUUAGCUGUGGGCUUGCGGUCGAUACGGGCAUCACUGGAGUUCGGCAGGGGAGACUGGAAUUCCUGGUGUAGCGGUGAAAUGCGCAGAUAUCAGGAGGAACACCAACGGCGAAGGCAGCUCGCUGGGACGGUACUGACACUGAGGCGCGAAAGCGUGGGGAGCGAACAGG
rnacentral:rRNA from 1 species